GGCUGGUCUGAAGGUAGUGAGUUAUCUCAAUUGAUUGUUCACAGCCAGUUACAGAUCGAACUCAUUGUUCUACUCUUUCUCCCCUUCUCACUAUUGCACUUGACUAGUCUUAA
rnacentral:Y_RNA from 1 species